UGGAGCUUUAAACCUGACAGCACCCGCUCAUUCUAUACCCCAUUAUUUGCCCGACCCCUGUCUGCUCAGUUUUAGGUUGGGGUGACCACGGAGUAUAAAAUAACCUCCAUGAAGAAGGGGAUAUUUCCCUUAUUAGAGAACCACACUUCCAAGAACUAAUAAAUUAAUUUUCAAUGACCCGAUACCCGAUAAUCGAUCAACGAACCAAGUUACCCUGGGGAUAACAGCGCAAUCCACCCUGAAAGCCCUUAUUAACAGGUGGGUUUACGACCUCGAUGUUGGAUCAGGGUAUCCCAGUGGUGCAGCAGCUACUGAGGGUUCGUUUGUUCAACGAUUAAAACCCU
rnacentral:rRNA from 1 species